rnacentral:rRNA from 1 species
GGCGAUCAGAUACCGCCCUAGUUCUGACCGUAAACGAUGCCAACUAGCGAUCCGCCGAUGGAGUUUCAUUGCCUUGGUGGGGAGCUUCCCGGAAACGAAAGUCUUCCGGUUCCGGGGGAAGUAUGGUUGCAAAGCUGAAACUUAAAGGAAUUGACGGAAGGGCACCACCAGGAGUGGAGCCUGCGGCUUAAUUUGACUCAACACGGGGAAACUCACCCGGCCCGGACACUGUGAGGAUUGACAGAUUGAUAGCUUUUUCAUGAUUCAGUGGAUGGUGGUGCAUGGCCGUUCUUAGUUCGUGGAGUGAUUUGUCUGGUUUAUUCCGAUAACGAGCGAGACUCUAACCUACUAAAUAGCUGAUGCAUAUUUUACGUGUAUUCGGCUUCUUAGAGGGAUUUGCGGCUUUCAGCCGAAAGAAAUUGAGCAAUAACAGGUCUGUGAUGCCCUUAGAUGUCCGGGGCUGCACGCGCGCUACACUGGCAAAAUCAACGUGCUUGUCCUACCCCGAAAGGGGUGGGUA